GAUGAACGCUGGCGGCGUGCCUAAUACAUGAAAGUCGAGCGAACGGACGAGAAGCUUGCUUCUCUGAUGUUAGCGGCGGACGGGUGAGUAACACGUGGAUAACCUACCUAUAAAACUGGGAUAACUUCGGAAAACCGGAGCUAAUACCGGAUAAUAUUUUGAACCGCAUGGUUCAAAAGUGAAAGACGGUCUUGCUGUCACUUAUAGAUGGAUCCGCGCUGCAUUAGCUAGUUGGUAAGGUAACGGCUUACCAAGGCAACGAUGCAUAGCCGACCUGAGAGGGUGAUCGGCCACACUGGAACUGAGACACGGUCCAGACUCCUACGGGAGGCAGCAGUAGGGAAUCUUCCGCAAUGGGCGAAAGCCUGACGGAGCAACGCCGCGUGAGUGAUGAAGGUCUUCGGAUCGUAAAACUCUGUUAUUAGGGAAGAACAUAUGUGUAAGUAACUGUGCACAUCUUGACGGUACCUAAUCAGAAAGCCACGGCUAACUACGUG
rnacentral:rRNA from 1 species